rnacentral:rRNA from 1 species
GGUGUUUACUGUCGAACUGAACACUCUACCGUUUACUGUCUGGUGGUGCUCUUCACCGAGUGUCACCAGUGGUCGGUACGUUUACUUUGAAAAAAUUAGAGUGCUCAAAGCGGUUUUUACACGACCGAUACUGUUGCAUGGAAUAAUGAAAUAGGACUUUUGUUCUAUUUGUUGGUCUUCGGAACCAAGGUAAUGAUUUAAGAGGGACAGACGGGGGCAUUAGUAUUGCGACGCUAGAGGUGAAAUUCUUGGACCGUCGCAAGACUAACUAAAGCGAAAGCAUUUGCCAAGAAUGUUUUCAUUAAUCAAGAACGAAAGUUAGAGGUUCGAAGGCGAUCAGAUACCGCCCUAGUUCUAACCAUAAACGAUGCCAACCAGCAAUCAGCCUGUGUUCUCUUGAUGACACGGCUGGCGGCUUCCGGGAAACCAAAGUCUUUCGGUUCCAGGGGAAGUAUGGUUGCAAAGCUGAAACUUAAAGGAAUUGACGGAAGGGCACCACCAGGAGUGGAGCCUGCGGCUUAAUUUGACUCAACACGGGGAAACUCACCCGGCCCGGACACUGUGAGGAUUGACAGGUUGAAGCCCUUUCUUGAUUCAGUGGGUGGUGGUGCAUGGCCGUUCUUAGUUGGUGGAGUGAUUUGUCUGGUUAAUUCCGAUAACGAACGAGACUCUAGCCUACUAAUUAGACCGUGGCGUCCUCGUGCCGCCACGGCGCUUCCUAGAGGGACAGACGG